rnacentral:rRNA from 1 species
GGCCUUAGUGGCGCACGGGUGCGUAACGCGUGGGAAUCUGCCCUUUGGUUCGGAAUAACAGCUGGAAACGGCUGCUAAUACCGGAUGAUGACGAGAGUCCAAAGAUUUAUCGCCAGAGGAUGAGCCCGCGUUGGAUUAGGUAGUUGGUGGGGUAAAGGCCUACCAAGCCGACGAUCCAUAGCUGGUCUGAGAGGAUGAUCAGCCACACUGGGACUGAGACACGGCCCAGACUCCUACGGGAGGCAGCAGUGGGGAAUAUUGGACAAUGGGCGCAAGCCUGAUCCAGCAAUGCCGCGUGAGUGAUGAAGGCCCUAGGGUUGUAAAGCUCUUUUACCCGGGAAGAUAAUGACUGUACCGGGAGAAUAAGCCCCGGCUAACUCCGUGCCAGCAGCCGCGGUAAUACGGAGGGGGCUAGCGUUGUUCGGAAUUACUGGGCGUAAAGCGCACGUAGGCGGCUUUGUAAGUCAGAGGUGAAAGCCUGGAGCUCAACUCCAGAACUGCCUUUGAGACUGCAUCGCUUGAAUCCAGGAGAGGUCAGUGGAAUUCCGAGUGUAGAGGUGAAAUUCGUAGAUAUUCGGAAGAACACCAGUGGCGAAGGCGGCUGACUGGACUGGUAUUGACGCU